AUUGAACGCUGGCGGAAUGCUUUACACAUGCAAGUCGAACGGUAGAGGGGGCAACCCCUUGAGAGUGGCGAACGGGUGAGUAAUAUAUCGGAACGUGCCCAGUCGUGGGGAUAACGUAGCGAAAGUUACGCUAAUACCGCAUACGAUCUAAGGAUGAAAGCGGGGGACUCGCAAGAGCCUCGCGCGAUUGGAGCGGCCGAUAUCAGAUUAGGUAGUUGGUGGGGUAAAGGCUCACCAAGCCAACGAUCUGUAGCUGGUCUGAGAGGACGACCAGCCACACUGGAACUGAGACACGGUCCAGACUCCUACGGGAGGCAGCAGUGGGGAAUUUUGGACAAUGGACGCAAGUCUGAUCCAGCCAUUCCGCGUGCAGGAUGAGGGCCCUCGGGUUGUAAACUGCUUUUGUACGGAACGAAACGGUGAGCUCUAAUACAGUUUGCUAAUGACGGUACCGUAAGAAUAAGCACCGGCUAACUACGUGCCAGCAGCCGCGGU
rnacentral:rRNA from 1 species